UACGUAGGGUGCGAGCGUUAAUCGGAAUUACUGGGCGUAAAGCGUGCGCAGGCGGUUCGCAAAGUCUGAUGUGAAAGCCCCGGGCUCAACCUGGGAACUGCAUUGGAAACUAACGGGCUCGAGUGUGGCAGAGGGGGGUGGAAUUCCACGUGUAGCAGUGAAAUGCGUAGAGAUGUGGAGGAACACCGAUGGCGAAGGCAGCCCCCUGGGCUAACACUGACGCUCAUGCACGAAAGCGUGGGGAGCAAACAGG
rnacentral:rRNA from 1 species